rnacentral:rRNA from 1 species
UACUCCUACGGGAGGCAGCAGUGAGGAAUAUUGGUCAAUGGACGCAAGUCUGAACCAGCCACGUCGCGUGAAGGAAGACGGCCCUACGGGUUGUAAACUUCUUUUGUAAGGGAAUAAAGUGAGUCACGUGUGACUUUUUGCAUGUACCUUACGAAUAAGGAUCGGCUAACUCCGUGCCAGCAGCCGCGGUAAUACGGAGGAUCCGAGCGUUAUCCGGAUUUAUUGGGUUUAAAGGGUGCGCAGGCGGGAGAUUAAGUCGGCGGUGAAAUUUUGCAGCUCAACUGUAAAAGUGCCAUCGAUACUGGUUUUCUUGAGUGUGGAUGAAGUAGGCGGAAUUUGUGGUGUAGCGGUGAAAUGCAUAGAUAUCACAAGGAACACCGAUUGCGCAGGCAGCUUACUAAACCAUAACUGACGCUCAGGCACGAAGGCGUGGGGAGCAAACAGGAUUAGAUACCCUGGUAGUCCACGCAGUAAACGAUGAUUACUAGCUGUUUGCGAUACAAUGUAAGCGGCUGAGCGAAAGCGUUAAGUAAUCCACCUGGGGAGUACGUUCGCAAGAAUGAAACUCAAAGGAAUUGACGGGGGCCCGCACAAGCGGAGGAACAUGUGGUUUAAUUCGAUGAUACGCGAGGAACCUUACCCGGGCUUGAAAUGCAUCUGACCGGCCUUGAAAGAGGUUUUCCCUUCGGGGCAGAUGUGUAGGUGCUGCAUGGUUGUCGUCAGCUCGUGCCGUGAGGUGUCGGCUUAAGUGCCAUAACGAGCGCAACCCUCAUCAUUAGUUACCAUCNNGUAANGCUGGGGACUCUAAUGAGACUGCCAUCGUAAGAUGCGAGGAANGGNGGGGAUGACGUCAAAUCAGCACGGCCCUUACGUCCGGGGCGACNCACGUGUUAC